ensembl:lncRNA
CCGGAUCCUGCUCUGUCUUUGUUUUGUGUUUCCUUGUCGCUGCUGUUGCACAUGUGCUUUCCACUGUUUGUUUGUUUACACCAUGUGAUUCUUUGUUGUCAUCUUGAGCUCCGCCCCCACCUGCCUUCUGCCACGUCCUGGUUUUUUCCGUCACCUUUUACCACACCUGCUUUGUUAAUCACCCUGUUUGUUUGCCUGAUUGGUUUGUCCUGUGUCUUGUUAAUUCUCCUUGUUUAGUUCACAUGUGUCCUACUAUCUGUUUCCCCUUUUUUGCUAUUUAAGUUCAGUCUUUCCUUUGUCCCCUGUUGGUUCAUCAGUCUAAGUCCUCCAUAUGACCAACCCUGAUCUGUGCUUUGUGAACCAGCUCCUCAUAAUGAUUGGUCCAGAGAGAUGUCAGAUCAUAGUUGCCCUCGCUCCCUUGCUUCUCUUAACGUUGGGGUCGAUGCACCUGCACAACUGUCCCAAGGAGCCCAUGGUCCCCAUCUAUGUAAUUGUGGGAUCUGCAUUCUUCCUGGUCUUACAGCUAUUUGCACUGUGUGGGCAAGAUACAAGGUGCUUCAAAGCCAGUGCCAGUCUGAUCUUCGCCUUUCUCUUCUGCUGGCUGAUUGCAGGUAGUGUGUUUGUCUACAGAGCAUUUCAACCCAACUAUGAGUCCAGACAAUCUCCGGAAUAUUGUGAGAAGAUUCUCUAUCAGGCUGCAUUCUGGUGUACCAACCUGGCAUGGGUGUGCAUAGUGAUUUUUGGGAUUUGUGGGUUGUGCUUUCUCUUAUGCACUAUAUCCUGUAACAAAAACAGGGAAGGUGACAGUGAAAUGGGAGAGAAUCCUCCCCCUCAAGAUUAGAAUUCACUUCAUCAUAAAGUUUCCCUAGUACACUCAAAAUGUAGUUUUUUAACAUUUCAGAACAGAAACACAAUGGUAAAGCUUUGUCUUAAAACCACAGAUUUAGAGCCGCAGGGCUCCACAGAGCUGCCACUGCACUGUAGCUUUGACAGUGAUGCUGAUCGAGCAGCCCAGCAUGCUUGUGUUGUUUCAACACCAUUAUCAGAACGGGGAGCAGGAAACGUAGUGGAUCACCCAUUUGGACACCACAGUGACUCAGCUCCUCUGACCCAUUAAGGCUACCCCUCACCCUUCUCCCUAAAACAGAAACAACCUCUCCUGUGAGCGCAGCGUGACGUUUUCUUCUCCUUGAACCGGUCUCGUGCAAAUUGUUGAUUGUUCCCUUGUGGCCUUGUACUCCUGCCAAAUCCUCCUACAUGUUCAUGGUAUUGCGGAAUGCUGGCAGUGUAACAUAUCUCCCACAUCCCUGCAGAGACCAUGUUUCCCUGUAUGACUGCAUACAGUAAUAGUGCCCUACUGCUCAGUAGCUACAGGUCAAAUACACUGGGAGUGCCUUAAGCAUCUGCUACUGCAACCACUAGCAAAAGCCUAAAGCUAAGUAAACACCUGUUUUACUGCAGAUAGCAUAUCGUCUUUGUUUUUUUUAAAUGCAUGUACUUUUGGACUUUUUUAAUGGUCUGUGAUCUUUGCAAUACAAUGAUAUUACCAAACCUAAAUCCACAUUUAGUAUUCUUGUAGAGUUCCUGUUCCAUUGUGGAGUAUUGCCUCUAUGAUUGCUGUCAUGUAUCCAGAAAUAACUAACUGUAAUCACGUGCCAAUGAGAACCAGUGGUGUACUUAUAAAUAAAUCUGACUUGGAGCCACA